AUCGAACGCUGGCGGCAGGCCUAACACAUGCAAGUCGAACGAGUGGCGGACUGGUGAGUAAUGUCUGGGAAACUGCCUGAUGGAGGGGGCUAACUACUGUAAACGGUAGCUACUACCGCAUACCAUCAGAUGUGCCCAGAUGGGAUUAGCUAGUCGGGGGGGUAACGGCUCACCAAGGCGACGCUCCCUAGCUGGUCUGAGAGGCUGACCAGCCACACUGGGACUGAGACACGGACCAGACUCAUACGGGAGGCAGCAGUGGGGAAUAUUGGACAAUGGGCGCAAGCCUGAUGCAGCCAUGCCGCGUGUAUGAAGAAGGCCUUCGGGUUGUAAAGUACUUUCGGCGGGGAGGCGUUACCCGCAGAAGAAGCACCGGCUAACUCCGUGCCAGCAGCCGCGGUAAUAC
rnacentral:rRNA from 1 species